GUGCAGCUGCUGACAAAGGGGACGGAUAAAGCCACCCCAGUUAUGGCCUCUCAGGGAUCAAGCUCCUCCCACCAGCUAAUUUUUCACGCUUAUCUGUCCCUAUUGGGCAGCAUCCCCAGAGAGAGAGCACAAGCAGGGGAAG